rnacentral:rRNA from 1 species
GAGCUUGCUCUUAUGAAGUUAGCGGCGGACGGGUGAGUAACACGUGGGUAACCUGCCCAUAAGACUGGGAUAACUCCGGGAAACCGGGGCUAAUACCGGAUAACAUUUUGAACUGCAUGGUUCGAAAUUGAAAGGCGGCUUCGGCUGUCACUUAUGGAUGGACCCGCGUCGCAUUAGCUAGUUGGUGAGGUAACGGCUCACCAAGGCAACGAUGCGUAGCCGACCUGAGAGGGUGAUCGGCCACACUGGGACUGAGACACGGCCCAGACUCCUACGGGAGGCAGCAGUAGGGAAUCUUCCGCAAUGGACGAAAGUCUGACGGAGCAACGCCGCGUGAGUGAUGAAGGCUUUCGGGUCGUAAAACUCUGUUGUUAGGGAAGAACAAGUGCUAGUUGAAUAAGCUGGCACCUUGACGGUACCUAACCAGAAAGCCACGGCUAACUACGUGCCAGCAGCCGCGGUAAUACGUAGGUGGCAAGCGUUAUCCGGAAUUAUUGGGC